rnacentral:rRNA from 1 species
UACGUAGGUGGCAAGCGUUGUCCGGAAUUAUUGGGCGUAAAGCGCGCGCAGGCGGCCUUUUAAGUCUGAUGUGAAAGCCCACGGCUCAACCGUGGAAGGUCAUUGGAAACUGAAAGGCUUGAGUACAGAAGAGGAAAGCGGAAUUCCACGUGUAGCGGUGAAAUGCGUAGAGAUGUGGAGGAACACCAGUGGCGAAGGCGGCUUUCUGGGCAGUGGCUGACGCUGAGGCGCGACAGCGUGGGGAGCAAACAGG